CACCUACGGGUGGCUGCAGUAAGGAAUAUUGGUCAAUGGACGAAAGUCUGAACCAGCCAUGCCGCGUGAAGGAUGAAGGCCCUCUGGGUUGUAAACUUCUUUUAUAGGGGACGAAAAAAGGGAAUUCUUUCCCACUUGACGGUACUCUAGGAAUAAGCACCGGCUAACUCCGUGCCAGCAGCCGCGGUAAUACGGAGGGUGCAAGCGUUAUCCGGAUUCACUGGGUUUAAAGGGUGCGUAGGUGGGUCUGUAAGUCAGUGGUGAAAUCUCCGGGCUUAACCCGGAAACUGCCAUUGAUACUAUAGGUCUUGAAUUAUCUGGAGGUGAGCGGAAUAUGUCAUGUAGCGGUGAAAUGCUUAGAUAUGACAUAGAACACCGAUUGCGAAGGCAGCUCACUACGGAUCGAUUGACACUGAGGCACGAAAGCGUGGGGAUCAAACAGGAUUAGAUACCCUGGUAGUCCACGCCCUAAACGAUGGAUACUCGACAUUUGUGAUAUACUAUAAGUGUCUGAGCGAAAGCAUUAA
rnacentral:rRNA from 1 species